rnacentral:sRNA from 1 species
GAAGGCGGCCUUAGACCCAUGUGCUCCAGGAACACCCUGGGGUGCCUGUAGCAGGCCCAUGGCAGGGGCCAUGAGGUGGAUGGUGGUCUUUAGGUUAGAAUGGCCGUAGAUCACCACGCUGUCUGAGCACCAGAGAACGGCAGCUAAGAUCACCACACUGUCUGAGCAGCACCAGAGAACGGCAGCUAUCUGGUAAACCUCUGUGGGUAGGCUUUGUGCAAAACAGGAAGGAGAAAGGGAGGAAGAGAAGGAGAGGAGGAGGGAUGGCCCUUUCUGUCUUCAGACUCAGCUAUAGCUAAAAGCUUUGCCCCACCCCACCCCGGGCUGGUGGAGGGAGAUGACAUUAAGUAACCAGGGAGAUGUGCCUUAGAUCCUAAAUUGCAGCACCUCCCUGAGGCUCAGAGAUCCAUUCUCUGGCACCUCCCUUCACACAGGGCAGACAGAAGUGGCUGCUGGCCCCUCCUCACACUCCCCUCCCAGUGCCUGGGGCUCUCUGUCCUGUGCUGGCUGGGGAGAAUGCAUGCUCUCUCUCACCCUGUGAUGAAGAUCUCUUGACAAAAGCUCCUCUACAGAGCAGGGAAAGAAGCCAGCCUAUCUACCUCUGACAAGCACCGGACUCAAAAAGAUGUGAUCACCUGGAAGGGAAGCACAGAAUCCUCUCUGACCCAGACCUGGGUCAUCUCCAGAGUCCACUGGACCUUUGCUUAUACCACAGUUCCAGGGCCUGUGCGGCUAGGAGACUUUACAAACUGUGUGCCUUUUCAUUAUCAAUCAGCAAAACUGACUGCUGCCUUUGGCUCUAUGGAUUUUAGCACGAGUGGAUUCUUACACUGCGACAUCGUCAGGGAACAUAGAAGCUACCAGCAACCUCCGACCUUGCCACAUCUCUCCUGAGUCUGCCGUUGUCUUUCAUCCCCUACUGUGGCUCCUGUAGGGUGAAUUGGAAACAAUCAGGUUCUGAUCUUCCUCAAGUUGGCAGUUUCCAUUUGAAAGCACUCACCACACUUCCUGGUCCUCUGCCUUUGACCUGCCUGAAGUCUUCCUUAUACACAAGCCAAGAGCUCGCUUGCCUCAUUCAGGUUUCACAACUGUAGCCAGCAUAGUUCUGUGGGACCUGGAUCAUAGAUUCAAGUCUGUAAGUGCAUUUACACAGCCCAGGCCUCUCCUGACGAACCUUGAAGGUGGGUUAGCCUCAAGCUCCCGUUCCUGGUGAGCCUGCUCCCUCUGAGUUCCACCGUUCUCUUCCUCUUGAGCUUCAGACAUUUGUGUGCCAGCCUCAGAGAAUCCCAUAUUCAGCAGCCCAAAAGGCACAGUUUAAAAUCCUGGCGGUGGCCGGCAUCCACCUCGCUCAAGCCUUAUUUUUAUUUCUCCUCUCAUGCCCCCUCUUAGGCUACUCUACUCCGAGUCUUUGUGCUGCCAUCCCGUGUCCACCUGCACCAAUCAAUUUCUGCCCAGAUCAGACAACAACUAUGCCUCACAGCCAGCAAUGGGAUCCUUAAAUUGCUCUUUUCAAAUAGAGUUUAUGUAGAUAGAGGAUCUCUUCAGUGUGGAGGACAGCAUUGGAGAGAACAGUAACCACCUGGGAACCAUCAGGGCAGCGUGAGGCCUUUCCUCACCCAGGGUGACAGGGUCCAUCGCAGAAGUGGGCUGUAACCUUACAGUGUCUCCCCUCCUGCCCCCAUCUGAUCUGAGUCUCUGGGGUAUAAAGCAAAGGAUGAGCUGCCGCUAGGUCUGAUGCUUGUGUGUAACAAUCUAUUGAUCAUGUAUGAUUACACAAACACGCUAGGUCUGAUCGCAGGCAAACUAUGUAGGUAAGGAGGUGAAAGCCCAGAACGCAGGUAGAGGGGGUCACAGCUGGGGCUGUGAAGUGGCUCUGAUGCCCCCUUCCAGGGUCAUGCUGAUCUCAUCUCUUACAUCUGGCCUUUCGCAUCUUCGAGAUUCAAAUGCCGAAUUCAUUUAGAACACAGCCCCUGGCAUUAAAUAUCCGGGCCUUGCAAUUACGGGGAGAUGAUUUUGGGCACUCAUAACCAAGUCUGUAGUUUGUUUGAGGUUUAAAUGUGACGUGUUAAUCACACCCUUCCAUAUGGCCUAAUGGAAGACUGGCAUUUUCUUUCUGCCAAUGACUGACUAGAACAUUCUUUCUGCAGUCUGCAACACUGAAGGCCUUCCCCACCAGGGGCUCUGAGCCACUGUCUCUUCCUCAGAUGGUCAUGGGUGUCUGCUCCAGAGGCUGUGAGAUGAUCCGGUCCUGACCACUGUCCUGGUCUGAGCUCAGCCUAGGACCCUUGGCAGCUCCCUCUCCACCAGGAGUCACAUCAGCACAUGCACAGGCUGCAUUGCCACCUCACCCACUCACCAAGCACUUGCAUCCAAACCUCCUCAGAUAGUCCUCUGCCUUUCCCUAGGCGCCUCUGCCAAGACUUUCUUAUAAGCUUUAAGGUAGUUUCUGAGACCUUUACCAUUCUCUCCCCAUCCCCCUCUCAUUUCACAUAUGCACAUGCAUGUGUGAUGUAUGUUUGCAUGUUUCUAUGUAGAUCUGAAGGCAAGCUGUCUUCCCUGAUCUUUCUCUACUGUUUAUUUACUGAGGCAGAGUUUCUUGCUGAAUGUGGGGCUCACCAGUCAGCUAGCCGGCUUGUGCUGGGAUCCCUCUCUCUGCUCCCAGCUCAUGCAGCUGCCAUGCCUGCUCCGUUCUGGGGACCGGAGCACAGGUGAGUUCCUAAUUCACAUAGCCAUCUCCCCAGAUGACCCUAUCCUUUCAGUCAUCUCCCCAUCCCGGGCCCCAGGUCUCCAUGCACACAGGAACUUCUUCUCCGUGCUCCUUCAGCAAGGAGUCUGUGUCUCUCUUGGAUUAGUCCAUCUGACUCUUGUCCAGCACUGUCUCAUGGGGCAGCUGUGCCCUCUCCUCACAGGUCCUGAGGUCAAAGUCCUUCACUAACCCUCCCCUGUGGCCACUCUGGGGAGGAUAAGGGAACGCUGGGUGACCCUUAUCUUCAUCACUACAGAGGUCACUCUCAAUUCCUUCCAGUCAUAUUCUCAACCUCAUUGAACAUUAGGCUGAUGGCAAGCCUCAGCUCAGUGCCCCAGACUCAUAUUUGUACAUCAAAGACUAGGCCUCAGUGAAAUCCUUCACGCCCUGGCGAGAUUUUGUUGUUGCUGUGCCGUUGUUUUUUCAGUAAAAGCUGAUUUUUUUUCUUUUUACUUCUGGUUUUCUGCAUCUGGCCUUUCCAAACUGAUGCAUUUCCCUGAAUUAGCUUGUGAGUCCUCAGCCUUUCAGUAAAGUCAGUCUGGAUGCCAAUGGGAUAGAGGGUGGAAAUUUCCAGAAUCCCAUAACAAAGAGAGGUUCAGUCAACCAUAGUGAACCCUGUCUCUCCUCACCCUUGAGUUGUGUUUUGGAUGCAAUGGGUCAGAAUGAAGCUCUCAAGAGGACCAGCACUUCCCUCCUUCAGAGCCUUUCAGAGUGAGUCUGUGUACUAACAAGGAAGCUGGCAGCCGAGGGGCGGAGCCUCCCACUCUACUCUUCCAGUGUUUUCCUUCUUCCUUCCCUGCCUUGUAGUUCCCUGGAGAACACAGCAUGCCGCUGGGAUUAGCAGAAAUCUGAGAUGGAGAGCUUGAGAUCCAAGACUCACAGAAAGCCACCAUUUUGUCAUCUAGUAAGACCAGCGCCUCCAGCCUGGACCAACUUUCCUUGAUUGAUGGAUGUGGGGGUGGUCCCUUCCUCUGCUAUCCUGAUCAUCUGCCUGCUGGCCUUUCUUUGGGCCAAGCUCUUUGGAGUGUGGCAAGAAGCAGAGCCGCUAGCCACAGAGCAGCUCGCUCCCCUUCUGGGCAGUCUCCCCAUCCAGCAGCCACAGUGGCGGCCUGCAUGAGUGCCUGCUUGCUCGAUGAGCACUCGUUGCUGACAUGCUGCCUUUGAGCACUGUUUAUGUUUAAUGCUCAGGCUCGAAGCAGCCGGUGGCAUCUGUUUCUUAACUGUCCUUUCAUGUGAGAAUUCACACCAUCUGAGAAAGUUCUUGGCUGUGCUGACUAUGAGGUAGAUCAAGGGGGCUGCUUCUUUUUAAUUAAAUACUUCCUGAGCUUGAGUGGU